UUCCAAAAGAGUUAAACACAGGGACACAUAUGAAGUCUCGGGGCCGGGUGUUGGUUCCGGUAGCGAUCGAGGGAAGUUAGUACCGAAGUCCGGGAUGGAAGAUGGCGAGAAAAGCUGUGUGUAUUUCUGCGGUGCCCGUACCGCAAACCGACACAGGUAGGUAGGAAGAAGAUUCUAAGGCCAACGGGAGAAGGGUUGUUAAGGAACUCGGCAAAUUGACCCCGUAACUUCGGGAGAAGGGGUGCUGCAGCAAUGCAGCCGCAGAGAAUCGGCCCAAGCAACUGUUUACCAAAAACACAGGUUUGUGCUAAAUCGAAAGAUGACGUAUACGAGCUGACGCCUGCCCGGUGCUGGAAGGUUAAGAGGAGAUGUGCAAGCAUUGAAUCGAAGCCCCAGUGAACGGCGGCCGUAACAAUAACGGUCCUAAGGUAGCGAAAUUCCUUGUCAGGUAAGUUCUGACCCGCAUGAAAGGCGUAAUGAUUUGGGCACUGUCUCAACAGCCCGCCCGGCGAAAUUGUUGUACCGGUGAAGAUGCCGGUUACCCGCGACAAGACGGAAAGACCCCAUGGAGCUUUACUGUAGCCUAAUAUUGGGUUUCGAUGUUGCAUGCACAGGAUUGAUGGGACACAGGGAAGCAGGUGCUUUGGCGCUUGUGGAGUGGCCGUUGGGAUACCAUCCUUGCGAUAUUGGAAUUCUAACCUGCGCCUUUGAAUCAAGGCGGGGGACAUUGUUAGGUGGGCAGUUUGACUGGGGCGGUCGCCUCCUAAAGAGUAACGGAGGCGUUCAAAGGUUCGCUCAGCUUGAACGGAAAUCAAGCAAAAGAGUGCAAACGCAGAAGCGAGCCUAACUGCAGACUGACGGGUCGAGCAGUAACGAAAGUUGGAGUUAGUGAUCCGGUGGUAUGUGAGUGGAAAUGCCAUCGCUCAACGGAUAAAAGUUACCCUGGGGAUAACAGGCUGAUCUCCCCCAAGAGUCCACAUCGACGGGGAGGUUUGGCACCUCGAUGUCGGCUCAUCGCAUCCUGGGGCUGUAUUCGGUCCCAAGGGUUUGGCUGUUCGCCAAUUAAAGCGGUACGCGAGCUGGGUUCAGAACGUCGUGAGACAGUUCGGUCCCUAUCUGUCGUGGGCGCAGGAUAUUUGAUGGGAGCUGUUCCUAGUACGAGAGGACCGGAGCGGACGUACCUCUGGCGCACCAGUUGUUCUGCCAAGAGCAUAGCUGGGCAACUAUGUACGGAUCGGAUAAACGCUGAAAGCAUCUAAGCGUGAAGCCGACCCAAAGAUAAGAUAUCCCAUUGUUUCAAACAAGUAAGACCCCUUGAAGACUACAAGGUUGAUAGGCACGAUGUGUAAGUGGAGCGAUCCAUUCAGCAAGCGUGUACUAAUAGGUCGAGGGCUUGACC
rnacentral:rRNA from 1 species